rnacentral:rRNA from 1 species
AGAGUUUGAUCCUGGCUCAGGAUGAACGUUGGCGGCGUGCCUAAUACAUGCAAGUCGAACGGUAGUUGAGCAUUCGUGCUUGAUGAGAGUGGCGAACGGGUGAGUAACACGUAACUGAUCUGCCCUUUAGACUGGGAUAACCUUUGGAAACAGAGGCUAAUACCGGAUGAGUUCGCGGUAGUUAGAGAGCCGUGAGGAAAGGCUAAUGCGCUAAGGGAUGAGGUUGCGGGCCAUCAGCUAGUUGGUGAGGUAAAGGCUCACCAAGGCGAUGACGGUUAGGGGAUCUGAGAGGGUGGCCCCCCACACUGGGACUGAGACACGGCCCAGACUCCUACGGGAGGCAGCAGUAAGGGAUAUUGCACAAUGGACGGAAGUCUGAUGCAGCGACGCCGCGUGGGUGAAGAAGGUUUUCGGAUCGUAAAGCCCUUUUCUAUGUGACGAGAGAGGACGGUAGCAUAGGAAUAAGUGUCGGCUAACUACGUGCCAGCAGCCGCGGUAAAACGUAGGACGCGAACGUUAUCCGGAGUUACUGGGCGUAAAGCGCCCGUAGGCGGUUGGUUAANUUACCUAUGAAAGAUACAGGCUAAACUUGUAUUGGUUAGGUGAAACUGGCU